rnacentral:rRNA from 1 species
AGAACGAACGCUGGCGGCAUGCCUAACACAUGCAAGUCGAACGCUCUUGGGGCUUCGGUUCCAAGGGAGUGGCGCACGGGUGAGUAGCGCGUGGGAACCUGCCCUGGAGUGGGGGGAUAACCGAGGGAAACUUCGGCUAAUACCGCAUGCGCCCGGGAAACCGGGGAAAGAUUUAUCGCUCUAGGAGGGGCCCGCGUCGGAUUAGCUAGUUGGUGGGGUAACGGCCUACCAAGGCUUUGAUCCGUAGCUGGUCUGAGAGGAUGAUCAGCCACACUGGGACUGAGACACGGCCCAGACUCCUACGGGAGGCAGCAGUGGGGAAUAUUGGACAAUGGGCGCAAGCCUGAUCCAGCAAUGCCGCGUGAGUGAUGAAGGCCUUCGGGUUGUAAAGCUCUUUCGCGCGCGACGAUGAUGACGGUAGCGCGAGAAGAAGCCCGGCUAACUCGUGCCAGCAGCCGC